UUUGUAUGCCUACCCAUGUUCCCUGUGACUUUGCAGGUUCCUUGCCUUUAAGGCCCCAGGAGCGGUACGAGUCGCUUGUGUCUGUAAAUGGCUUGCAGCAUUCCUGUCGGCUGUGCCCUUAUCAGACCAAGAGGAAGUCCGACAUGAACAAACACAUACGUACACACUCAGGCGGACGUCCCUUCAUGUGCCACCUGUGCCCGGAAGCAUUCACUCAGGCUACCAACCUGACACGCCAUCUGCGCUGCCACACCGGAGACCGUUCCUUUUCCUGUGUGCACUGUGGUGCAUCGUUUAGGCAGAAGCGCCACCUGUCCAGCCACAUGUUCUGUCACGCAGGGAAGAAGCUCUAAAGGUGCAGCCAGUGUUUGUGCAGCUCAGAAACUCUACCUGAAAAAUGUGGCGACUUCAAAGAAUGCAAGUGUCUGCCCAUCAAGCCUCCAUGCACAGUUUUAGUGAAAAUGACAGCCGGGAUCACAGCCGAAGCCAAAGCUGGAGUCGCAACAGCUAGCAGGGACGUCCUGCCUGACAUUAUGCCACUCAUAUUCACACUGCAGACUCUAGACGAGGAGUCUGCAGUUGCAGCCAUGGUUACUGCCACAGUUCCCUCUUUCAGUAUUGACAACAUUGUAGCAGUUGGAUUAUGUGUGCCACUUGCAGUGCCACUUGUGCCCAAACGUGCUUGGUCAUGGUUCCAACCUCAAGCAGCAUGUUUGCAGUUGUACGGCAGAGUGGCCAUAUCUCUGCGCCUACUGCGCUGCAUCUUUUUCAUGGAAGGAGUUCCUCUUAUACCACAUGCCUUGUCACAGAUGGGAAAGAAGCGCUCAUUGUUAAGGGUGCACAGUUUCUUAAAGAAAAACUGAUUGAUUGAUUUAUGUGGUAUUCAUACUGCAUAGAAAGGGUUCUGGCCCUUGCAUGCACUGAGCUUCAUAGAAAAUUGCUUAAAGGGAAAUAUGACCACACCAUCCGUUAUACGCUGCUGUGACUUUGUAGCUAUGCUGAGAACUUCGAGGUGUAUCUUAUUCUGAAUGCAGCUUGGCCUAAACUCUGGCCACUGUUGUCUAAAUAAACUUUUCUUGGCACAGAAAGCUACGAAAGCCUUGUUGCACUACCUCAAGUCAACAGGUCUUGGCGACCGUCCGUAGACUU